rnacentral:rRNA from 1 species
GACGAACGCUGGCGGCGUGCUUAACACAUGCAAGUCGAACGGAAAGGCCCGGUUUUGGUGGGUGGCUGGGGGGGCAAACGGGUGAGAAAACCGUAGGUAACCGCCCCUUACCUUGGGGAUACCUCAAGGAAACGGGGGUAAAAACAGGAAAGGAGUUCCUCCUCCUGGGGGGGGGUGGGAAAGUUUCGGCGGUUGGGGAUGGACUCGCGGCUUAUCAGCUUGUUGGUGGGGUAGUGGCUUACCAGGGCUUUGACGGGUAGCCGGCCUGAGAGGGUGACCGGCCACAUUGGGACUGAGAUACGGCCCAGACUCCUACGGGAGGCAGCAGUGGGGAAUAUUGCACAAUGGGCGGAGGCCUGAUGCAGCAACGCCGCGUGCGGGAUGACGGCCUUCGGGUUGUAAACCGCUUUCGCCUGUGACGAAGCGUGAGUGACGGUAAUGGGUAAAGAAGCACCGGCUAACUACGUG